CUUGUAGUUAUUAACGCGAAAUGUGAUUGUCACCGAAUGGAUGAGCACCUAGUGGUUGCCACUUGGAACUUGUUUCCGUCCACCAAAUACUGUACCUUAUAGUAAAUUCCAUCCAGAGCAACGUAUCGAUAUUAUCUCGAGAUGACGACUUUACCGGUUUGCGGAUCCAAGGAUGUUCCGGUUUUAUAUGUAUGAACCGAGUGAAGACGGAAUGUUUAAGGUCAAAAGAACCGGCGUUAGGCACGUGAGUCAGUUUUAUAUGCGAAUUCUCAUCUUUAGUUUUCCUCUUUCUAUUAUUACUUUUCACAUGGAUGCAAACAUUUUAUCGAUAUAAACCAGUUAUUGCGGAUGUAUUUAUUUGGGGCUUGGCUCGCUGACGAAAAGGAGUGAUAUAUAAAGUUGCAGACCAACGUUUGGUUUCAGUCUUCAAUCGUCAUUCUUGUGUAGCGAACGGAGAAACUUCUGGAAAACAAUGUAUUUCAGAUCGCUUUACUGGAUUUUCGCUGCGGCAGUGUUGCUGGUUGUAACGAGUGUCCUCACAGCGUCGGUACCAAAUGGUGAUGUCUACCACGAAAACACGCUUUCGGAAAAUGGGCGUUUCUUUGCGAAUCAAACUAAAGAUGGCAUAUAUUACGAGGAACACGGAAUCUUACGUCCGUCAUCAGGUUCUAUAAAAGUGACGGGAUUGAUUCGUUCAGAGGGCACACCUGAUAGAACAUAUGAGUACCUCCUGAUGCAGGAUGAAGAUGAAUAUCUUAUCGUAGAACCUUAUAUACCAGGAGCGAUAUACACACAAAUUGAACCGAGACUCAUACUUUCCCUUCUUGGUGGUGGUAAAUUUUGAAUUACUCUUCGAUGAACUGUAAAGAGGAACAAUGAGCUUUGAAAUAAAUGUUAUGCUGCAUUGAAACUAUGACAUGUUUUACACAGACUGACGAUGAGACACAUAAUACAUGAAAAUUUAUGUAAUUUGUAACCUCGUUGGCGAGUUUAUGAAAAAUGGACAAAUAACAUGGAAGAUAAAAUUUGUACUGAUUGAUCGUCUAUAUCCCUUCUACAAAUUAUGUUUGUUCGUGCAUAAGAGUAUACAUAAAAACUAAAAUUUGAAAAUGUAAUUGUGUGUUGUAUUCUCCAUUGCAACACCUGUUUCAAACUCCAACCAAAGCAACUGCACAAAGUCAACCAUCGACGCCAUUUAGCGUUGAGAAUGUUAGCCAAUGGAAUAUUAACAAUGUUGUGAUGUUUCCGGUCGCGAGACCAAAAGACG